rnacentral:misc_RNA from 1 species
UUCUUUUUUGUAAAAAGAAGAAAACUCCCAAGCAACCGAAAAACACUCCGCAAAGAGGGAGGAAAAUUAUUAGAAACAACAUCUUAUGGCUCCUUUUAGAUGUACGUUUGUUGGACCAAAAAUUGCAUGGUUGCAGUCCUGGGACAUUCCCACACAACCCUUUGUUCCCCUGAAAUGCUUCUAUGGAAGCAUUCUGAAAUGCUUUGUUGGAAGGAAUGGGACCUUCCAAUUUGUUGUAGGACAUAUCGAUUGAUAACAAACCAUGCAUCUCUUUGAAACUAUCUGGAAUAGAAC